AGCGAACGCUGGCGGCAGGCCUAACACAUGCAAGUCGAACGAACCCUUCGGGGUUAGUGGCGGACGGGUGAGUAACACGUGGGAACGUGCCUUUAGGUUCGGAAUAACUCAGGGAAACUUGUGCUAAUACCGAAUGUGCCCUUCGGGGGAAAGAUUUAUCGCCUUUAGAGCGGCCCGCGUCUGAUUAGCUAGUUGGUGAGGUAAUGGCUCACCAAGGCUACGAUCAGUAGCUGGUCUGAGAGGAUGACCAGCCACAUUGGGACUGAGACACGGCCCAAACUCCUACGGGAGGCAGCAGUGGGGAAUUUUGCGCAAUGGGCGAAAGCCUGACGCAGCCAUGCCGCGUGGAUGAUGAAGGUCUUAGGAUUGUAAAAUCCUUUCACCGGUGAAGAUAAUGACUGUAGCCGGAGAAGAAGCCCCGGCUAACUUCGUGCCAGCAGCCGCCGUAA
rnacentral:rRNA from 1 species